rnacentral:rRNA from 1 species
GAUGAACGCUAGCGGCAGGCUUAACACAUGCAAGUCGAGGGCAGCAUAACAUUGCUUGCAAUGUUUGAUGGCGACCGGCGCACGGGUGCGUAACGCGUAUGCAACCUACCUAUAACAGGGGUCCCGCAUGGGAAUAUUUGUUAAAGAAUUAUCGGUGUCGGAUGGGCAUGCGUUCCAUUAGCUAGUUGGUGAGGUAACGGCUCACCAAGGCUACGAUGGAUAGGGGUUCUGAGAGGAAGGUCCCCCACACUGGUACUGAGACACGGACCAGACUCCUACGGGAGGCAGCAGUGAGGAAUAUUGGUCAAUGGACGGAAGUCUGAACCAGCCAAGUCGCGUGAAGGAAGACGGUUCUAUGAAUUGUAAACUUCUUUUGUCGGGGAGUAAAGUCAGCUACGCGUAGCUGUUUGCAAGUACCCGAAGAAAAAGCAUCGGCUAACUCCGUG